rnacentral:rRNA from 1 species
GAGAGUUUGAUCCUGGCUCAGAUUGAACGCUGGCGGCAGGCUUAACACAUGCAAGUCGAACGAUGAUUAUCUAGCUUGCUAGAUAUGAUUAGUGGCGGACGGGUGAGUAACAUUUAGGAAUCUGCCUAGUAGUGGGGGAUAGCUCGGGGAAACUCGAAUUAAUACCGCAUACGACCUACGGGUGAAAGGGGGCGCAAGCUCUUGCUAUUAGAUGAGCCUAAAUCAGAUUAGCUAGUUGGUGGGGUAAAGGCCCACCAAGGCGACGAUCUGUAACUGGUCUGAGAGGAUGAUCAGUCACACCGGAACUGAGACACGGUCCGGACUCCUACGGGAGGCAGCAGUGGGGAAUAUCGGACAAUGGGGGCAACCCUGAUCCAGCCAUGCCGCGUGUGUGAAGAAGGCCUUUUGGUUGUAAAGCACUUUAAGCAGGGAGGAGAGGCUAAUGGUUAAUACCCAUUAGAUUAGACGUUACCUGCAGAAUAAGCACCGGCUAACUCUGUGCCAGCAGCCGCGGUAAUACAGAGGGUGCGAGCGUUAAUCGGAAUUACUGGGCGUAAAGCGAGUGUAGGUGGCUCAUUAAGUCACAUGUGAAAUCCCCGGGCUUAACCUGGGAACUGCAUGUGAUACUGGUGGUGCUAGAAUAUGUGAGAGGGAAGUAGAAUUCCAGGUGUAGCGGUGAAAUGCGUAGAGAUCUGGAGGAAUACCGAUGGCGAAGGCAGCUUCCUGGCAUAAUAUUGACACUGAGAUUCGAAAGCGUGGGUAGCAAACAGGAUUAGAUACCCUGGUAGUCCACGCCGUAAACGAUGUCUACUAGCCGUUGGGGUCCUUGAGACUUUAGUGGCGCAGUUAACGCGAUAAGUAGACCGCCUGGGGAGUACGGCCGCAAGGUUAAAACUCAAAUGAAUUGACGGGGGCCCGCACAAGCGGUGGAGCAUGUGGUUUAAUUCGAUGCAACGCGAAGAACCUUACCUGGUCUUGACAUAGUGAGAAUCCUGCAGAGAUGCGGGAGUGCCUUCGGGAAUUCACAUACAGGUGCUGCAUGGCUGUCGUCAGCUCGUGUCGUGAGAUGUUGGGUUAAGUCCCGCAACGAGCGCAACCCUUUUCCUUAUUUGCCAGCGGGUUAAGCCGGGAACUUUAAGGAUACUGCCAGUGACAAACUGGAGGAAGGCGGGGACGACGUCAAGUCAUCAUGGCCCUUACGACCAGGGCUACACACGUGCUACAAUGGUAGGUACAGAGGGUUGCUACACAGCGAUGUGAUGCUAAUCUCAAAAAGCCUAUCGUAGUCCGGAUUGGAGUCUGCAACUCGACUCCAUGAAGUCGGAAUCGCUAGUAAUCGCAGAUCAGAAUGCUGCGGUGAAUACGUUCCCGGGCCUUGUACACACCGCCCGUCACACCAUGGGAGUCUAUUGCACCAGAAGUAGGUAGCCUAACGUAAGAGGGCGCUUACCACGGUGUGGUCGAUGACUGGGGUGAAGUCGUAACAAGGUAGCCGUAG